AGUGCCACUAUCCCAGCAUCAUCUUCAUCUACAAAUGUCUUUUUAAUGUGCUCACAGGAGGGAGUCAAUUUUGCCCUCUCAGAGGAAGAAUUACCCACAGCCCAAACGAGAAGUGGCAGUAGGUAAAGAAGGCUGGUGAUUUUAGGAGCAGCUCUGUUCGCUUUGGAAGCGGAGGGCACAGUGUUGAGAGGGUCUCUGGCAUCCCAGUGGGAAGCAAAUAAAGCAGAGCUCACACGCCAGCUGAGACUAAGACAAGGCACUGCAUGGAUCUCUGGUCAAGAACAGAAGAGCUGCAUCUUGGAAGAAAGGUGCUGCUGCUCUCAGGAUGUGCCCCAGCAAGAAGAGAGAAUGAGCACCUUGAGCUCGAGCGCUGCCGACUGCAGGGUGGCUGGAGUUGGGUGUUCUGCUCACAGGCAGAAGAAAACCACUUCAAGACAUCAAGAUGAAACUGGAUUUAUGGAUAAAAACGGCCAAAUGACAUCUGAAAAUUUUGUUUCCCUUUGAAAUUCUUGAUGCAUUUCAGCAUCUCCAGGAGGGCAUCUCCUCUCUUGUGUUGCCAGGUGAUGUGUCAUUAAUAUAUAUUGAUUUUUUUUUUUUUAAUGGGGAAUUAAAGUAUUGUUGUGGUGUGAG
rnacentral:lncRNA from 1 species